UACAGAGGUCUCAAGCGUUGUUCGGAUUCAUUGGGCGUAAAGGGUGUGUAGGUGGCGCCGUAAGUCGGGUGUGAAAUUUCGGAGCUUAACUCCGAAACUGCAUUCGAUACUGCCGUGCUUGAGGACUGGAGAGGAGACUGGAAUUUACGGUGUAGCGGUGAAAUGCGUAGAGAUCAUGAGGAAGACCAGUGGCGAAGGCGGGUCUCUGGACAGUUCCUGACACUGAGACACGAAGGCCAGGGGAGCAAACGGG
rnacentral:rRNA from 1 species